CCUGGAGCACUGCAGGAGCCAAAGGAUGGCAGCGGCCUGGGCCAAGAGGGAGACGACGAGAGUGGGAGCCAGAAUGCCCUGAUGUAUCAGCACGCUAAAGCGGCUGCGCACCCGGUGAGUGGGCCGGCCAGGUCUGGCGGCCUCCCGCCCGGCUCCUUCCGAAGUCACGCCCACGGCUCCUACUGCCCACCGCUUCCAGGCUGUCUGCCAGGCAGCCCAAGUGCACAGCUCUACUCUCCCUUCUGGUCCUGGUGCUGCCCCGUCAGCUUCCACCCGAACUCUGCUGCUCUGCACGUUUGUUUCGGGAGCUGGGGGUCCUGUGGACGGCUGCCUCGAUCUCCUUCUGAUUGCUUCUGAAACGUUGCGUCUUCACCUCUUCUAAGAUCCAUAUAUGGCAGCACCUCAGCCACGGCUGGCCCCCGAUUCUGCGUGUCACAGACCAGCCUUGGAAACAGGACCUGGCGGAAGUGUCCCUGCAGGUGGUGGGCAGGAUUCAGUACCGGAGGUUUUCCAACAAUGGGAUUCCAUAAAACAGUGACGACGUUGGUAAUCUUGCAGUAAUCCAGCGUAGCCACUCGCUCAUGAUCGUGCGGCUUUCCAGGUGGUCUUUUAUGCUCACCGUGACCUUCUUCAUGGUUUCAUCAUGUUCACCUUUGUUUCAUCAGUGUCUUAAAGACUUGGUGCCUAAUUAAUACUCUAAGCAUCUAAAGGACGUGUUUUGGAUUCUUGCACACCUCUAUCCCUUGAGAUCCCUAAAACAUUGUGGGAGCCCCCUUAAUAUUUAUUAAAUGGGGACUCUUGCUGCAGAAA